rnacentral:tRNA from 2 species
GGUCUCUUAGUGUAGCGGUUAACACGCCUGCCUGUCACGCAGGAGAUCGCGGGUUCGAUUCCCGUCGAGACCGCCA